AUUGAACGCUGGCGGCAGGCCUAACACAUGCAAGUCGAGCGGAUCUGCGGACGGGUGAGUAAUGCCUAGGUCUCUGCAUGGCACAGCUGGAUAACGUCCGGUAUCGGGCUCUAAUCCUGCACACUAUCAGAUUAGUCUAGGUCGGAUUAGCUCGUUGGUGGGGUAAAGGCCUACCAAGGCGACGAUCCGUAACUGGGCUGUGAGGAUGAUCAGUCACACUGGAACUGAGACACGGUCCAGAAUCCUACGGGAGGCAGCAGUGGGGAAUAUUGGACAAUGGGCGAAAGCCUGAUCCAGCCAUGCCGCGUGUGUGAAGAAGGUCUUCGGAUUGUAAAGCACUUUAAGUUGGGAGGCGUUACCAACAGAAUAAGCACCGGCUAACUUCGUGCCAGCAGCCGCGGUAAUAC
rnacentral:rRNA from 1 species